rnacentral:rRNA from 1 species
UACGUAGGGCGCAAGCGUUAUCCGGAAUUAUUGGGCGUAAAGGGCGCGUAGGCGGUCCGGUAAGUCCGCUCUGAAAGUCCGGGGCUCAACCCCGGGAGGCGGGCGGAUACUGUCGGGCUAGAGUCCGGAAGAGGCGAGUGGAAUUCCUGGUGUAGCGGUGAAAUGCGCAGAUAUCAGGAGGAACACCGAUGGCGAAGGCAGCUCGCUGGGACGGUACUGACGCUGAGGCGCGAAAGCGUGGGGAGCAAACAGG